GGCGCAAACUUGAAGUAGAGUGCAUAAGUAUGGCCAGCUGAUCCUAUCAAUGUACUCUACUUCAAAUUUGGGCUC
rfam:Haemonchus contortus, ISE/inbred ISE, WGS project CAVP01000000 data, contig: Hcontortus_contig_pathogens_Hcontortus_scaffold_2230